UGGGAAUAAACCUUGCAACUGCUGAUACAGUUAUUAUAUAUGAUAGUGAUUGGAAUCCUCAUGCUGAUCUUCAAGCAAUGGCCAGAGCUCAUCGACUUGGCCAAACCAACAAGGUAAUGAUUUAUAGGCUUGUUACAGAACUAUUGAGGAACGAAUGAUGCAGUUGACUAAGAAGAAAAUGGUUUUAGAACAUCUUGUUGUUGGGAGGUUGAAGGCACAAAAUAUUAACCAAGAAGAACUAGAUGACAUUAUUAGGUAUGGUUCAAAGGAGCUAUUUGCUGAUGAGAACGAUGAAGCAGGAAAAUCACGUCAAAUUCAUUAUGAUGAUGCUGCUAUAGACCGAUUACUUGACCGUGAGCAAGUUGGAGAUGAAGAAGCUUCAUUGGACGAUGAGGAGGAAGAUGGAUUUUUGAAGGCCUUCAAGGUUGCAAACUUUGAGUAUAUUGACGAAGCAGAGGCUGCAGCAGAGGAGGAAGCUCGAAAGGCGGCUGCAGAAGCAAGAUCUGCCAUGAGCAAUUCUGAAAGAGCAAAUUACUGGGAAGAGUUGUUAAAAGACCAGUAUGAAGUGCAUAAGAUCAAGGAGUUCAAUGCCUUGGGCAAGGGAAAAAGAAGCCGUAAACAGAUGGUGUCUGUUGAAGAAGAUGAUCUUGCUGGUUUGGAAGAUGUAAGCACUGAAGGCGAGGAUGAUAAUUAUGAAGCUGAUUUAACUGAUAGUGAAACAGCUUCUUCUGGAACUCAAACUGGGAGAAAGCCUUACAGAAAGAAAGCUCGCGUGGAUAAUAUGGAGCCAAUUCCUCUGAUGGAAGGUGAAGGAAGGUCAUUCAGGGUAUUGGGUUUCAAUCAAAAUCAGAGGGCUGCAUUUGUACAAAUUUUGAUGAGGUUUGGGGUGGGGGAGUAUGACUGGAAGGAGUUUGCAUCUCGCAUGAAACAGAAGACAUAUGAAGAAAUAAGAGAUUAUGCAGUUCUUUUCUUGUCUCACAUUACUGAAGAUAUAACCGACUCGCCAAACUUUUCAGAUGGUGUUCCUAAAGAAGGACUUCGAAUACUAGAUGUACUUGUUAGGAUUGCUAUACUGCUUCUGAUCAGGGAUAAGGUGAAGUUUGCAUUAGAGAAGCCAGGCACUCCACUUUUCACAGAUGACAUUGUCCUGCGCUAUCCGGGGUUGAAGAGCGGAAAAUUUUGGAAAGAAGAACAUGACUUGUUAUUGCUUCGUGCAGUAUUGAAGCAUGGAUAUGGAAGAUGGCAAGCUAUUGUUGACGACAAAGACUUGAGGAUUCAGGAGGUCAUUUGUCAAGAGUUGAAUCUUCCUUUUAUAAAUCUACCUGUCCCAGGACAAGCUAGUUCUCAAGCACAAAAUGGUGUUAACACAGUUGCAGCGGAAGCUCCUAGUACUCAGGUGCAGGGAAAUGGAAAUGGUACUAGCAAUUGUUUGGCAGCUGAUGUUGCACAGGGUGUGACAGAUGUUGCCAACCAACCACAGUUAUAUCAGGAUUCUUCUAUACUAUAUCAUUUUAGAGACAUGCAGAGACGACAGGUUGAGUUCAUUAAGAAGAGAGUUCUGCUUUUGGAGAAAGGUCUCAAUGCUGAGUACCAGAAAGAAUACUUUGAUGAUGACCCAAAAUCAAACGAAUUUACAGGUGAAGAGCCUGAAGGUGACAUAAAGGCUGCAGAUGGAUCAAAUUUAAGCUCCAUAGAGAUUGAUGCUCAAAUGAUUGAUCAGUUGCC
rnacentral:misc_RNA from 1 species